rnacentral:ribozyme from 1 species
UGCCCAGCAACUCCUAUCCAUACCUCCUCGUGGUACUGGCCGGGGUACGAGCAACCUUAGGAAAGAUCGGGUAACCAACCCCGGUAGG